GAAAGACUCUGUCAAAGUGAACUCUCCUUUAUUUACAGGGAUGCCGUCUCAGAAAAUCUUGCAGAACGGAGAAAGCUUACUGAAUCUUUGGAUGAACUCCACUGCAAAAAUAAUGACCUUGAAGAGAGAUUGGGAGUAACGUUGGCAAAGUUGGGAGCUGAACAAACAAAGAACAUAGAACUCAUGAAUUCCUUGGAAAAGUCACAGAGUGAGGCUGAAAAUUAUUUGAUGGCAAGGAACACGCUUGACCAGGAGCUCAGCAAUCAAUCUGAACUGAAUUCAACACUACAGAGUAAGAUGGAGAAACUUCUGGAGUUGAAUGAUGAUAUGAGCUUGAAAUUAAUAGAGAGCAACCACAAGGUAG
rnacentral:misc_RNA from 1 species